rnacentral:rRNA from 1 species
GAUGAACGCUGGCGGCGUGCCUAAUACAUGCAAGUCGAGCGAACGGACGAGAAGCUUGCUUUUCUGAUGUUAGCGGCGGACGGGUGAGUAACACGUGGAUAACCUACCUAUAAGACUGGGAUAACUUCGGGAAACCGGAGCUAAUACCGGAUAAUAUUUUGAACCGCAUGGUUCAAAAGUGAAAGACGGUCUUGCUGUCACUUAUAGAUGGAUCCGCGCUGCAUUAGCUAGUUGGUAAGGUAACGGCUUACCAAGGCAACGAUGCAUAGCCGACCUGAGAGGGUGAUCGGCCACACUGGAACUGAGACACGGUCCAGACUCCUACGGGAGGCAGCAGUAGGGAAUCUUCCGCAAUGGGCGAAAGCCUGACGGAGCAACGCCGCGUGAGUGAUGAAAGUCUUCGGAUCGUAAAACUCUGUUAUUAGGGAAGAACAUAUGUGUAAGUAACUGUGCACAUCUUGACGGUACCUAAUCAGAAAGCCACGGCUAACUACGUG